UGCCUGUUUCUCAGUGUGU
rnacentral:misc_RNA from 1 species